rnacentral:rRNA from 1 species
GACGAACGCUGGCGGUGUGCUUAACACAUGCAAGUCGAACGGUAAGGCCCUUUCGGGGGUACACGAGUGGCGAACGGGUGAGUAACACGUGAGUAACCUGCCCUCAUCUCUGGGAUAACAGUCGGAAACGGUUGCUAAUACUGGAUAUGAGCUUGCAAGGCAUCUUGUGGGUUGGAAAGAUUUUUUUUGGUUGGGGAUGGACUCGCGGCCUAUCAGCUUGUUGGUGAGGUAGUGGCUCACCAAGGCUUCGACGGGUAGCCGGCCUGAGAGGGCGACCGGCCACAUUGGGACUGAGAUACGGCCCAAACUCCUACGGGAGGCAGCAAUGGGGAAUAUUGCACAAUGGACGGAAGUCUGAUGCAGCAACGCCGCGUGCGGGAUGACGGCCUUCGGGUUGUAAACCGCUGUCAAUUGUGACGAAGCUUUUUUGUGACGGUAGCAGUAGAAGAAGCACCGGCUAACUACGUG